rnacentral:rRNA from 1 species
GACGAACGCUGGCGGCGUGCUUAACACAUGCAAGUCGAACGCUGAAGCUUGGUGCUUGCACUGGGUGGAUGAGUGGCGAACGGGUGAGUAAUACGUGAGUAACCUGCCCUUGACUCUGGGAUAAGCCUGGGAAACUGGGUCUAAUACUGGAUACGACAUGCCACUGCAUGGUGGUGUGUGGAAAGGGGUUUACUGGUUUUGGAUGGGCUCACGGCCUAUCAGCUUGUUGGUGGGGUAAUGGCCUACCAAGGCGACGACGGGUAGCCGGCCUGAGAGGGUGACCGGCCACCAUGGGACUGAGACACGGACCAGACUCCUACGGGAGGCAGCAGUGGGGAAUAUUGCACAAUGGGCGGAAGCCUGAUGCAGCGACGCCGCGUGCGGGAUGACGGCCUUCGGGUUGUAAACCUAUUUCAGCGCGGAAGAAGCGAGAGUGACGGUACGUGCAGAAGAAGCGCCGGCUAACUACGUG